rnacentral:rRNA from 1 species
UGAGUAAUCUGCCCUUCACUUUGGGAUAAGCUUCGGAAACGGGGGUCUAAUACCGAAUACGACGCACCCAGGCAUCUGGUGUGUGUGGAAACUUUUUUGGGUGGGGGAUGUGCUCGCGGCCUAUCAGCUUGUUGGUGGGGUAAUGGCCUACCAAGGCUUCGACGGGUAGCCGGCCUGAGAGGGUGACCGGCCACACUGGGACUGAGACACGGCCCAGACCUCCGUACGGGAG